GCUUGGUUAGUAUAAAAAGUAUUAUAGACUUCCAAUCUUUAAGUCCCGACUGGGAUCAAGCA
rnacentral:tRNA from 1 species